GGGCGAUGGCGAUAUGGCUACAACAUGUCACUCCAUUGACCACUGGGGUUCAUUCGGCUCUCUGGCUGCCUAGGCGCCUGUUUCCUUCCUCCCUCCAAGUGUGUCCCUCCCAAAGCUGCACACUAAGGGGAUGACCACCCCGUAGAGGAGGGUCAUUUCCUUUGGCAAGGCUAUAUGAGUAACUGCACUCCCUGGCUAGAACCUCCAAACAAGCUCUUAAAGUGGUUGCCUUCGGGGUUUGUUAUAGAAAGCCAUAUAAAUACAAAAUGAGACAAAUUCAGAGAGUUU
ensembl:misc_RNA 7SK 7SK RNA